rnacentral:rRNA from 1 species
AUCCAAGGAAGGCAGCAGGCGCGCAAAUUACCCACUCCCAGAACGGGGAGGUAGUGACGAAAAAUAACAAUACGGGACUCUUUUGAGACCCCGUAAUUGGAAUGAGUACACUCUAAAUCCUUUAACGAGGAUCCAUUGGAGGGCAAGUCUGGUGCCAGCCGCCGCGGUAAUUCCAGCUCCAAUAGCGUAUAUUAAAGUUGUUGCGGUUAAAAAGCUCGUAGUUGGAUCUCAGUUCCAGACGGGUGGUCCGCCAAACGGUGGUCACUGCCCGUUCUGAACAGCCAGCCGGUUUCUCUUGAUGAUCUUCACCGGUUGUCUCGGGUGACCGGCAAGUUUACUUUGAAAAAAUUAGAGUGCUCAAAGCAGGCGUGACGCCUGAAUAAUGGUGCAUGGAAUAAUGGAAUAGGACCUCGGUUCUAUUUUGUUGGUUUUCGGAACACGAGGUAAUGAUUAAGACGGACAGACGGGGGCAUUCGUAUUGCGACGCUAGAGGUGAAAUUCUUGGACCGUCGCAAGACGAACUACUGCGAAAGCAUUUGCCAAGAAUGUUUCCAUUAAUCAAGAACGAAAGUUAGAGGUUCGAAGGCGAUCAGAUACCGCCCUAGUUCUAACCAUAAACGAUGCCAGCCAGCGAUCCGGCUGUGUUCCUCAAAUGACACGCCGGGCAGCUUCCGGGAAACCAAAGCUUUUGGGUUCCGGGGGAAGUAUGGUUGCAAAGCUGAAACUUAAAGGAAUUGACGGAAGGGCACCACCAGGCAUGGAGCCUGCGGCUUAAUUUGACUCAACACGGGAAAACUUACCCGGCCCGGACACAGGAAGGAUUGACAGAUUAAGAGCUCUUUCUUGAUUCUGUGGGUGGUGGUGCAUGGCCGUUCUUAGUUGGUGGAGCGAUUUGUCAGGUUAAUUCCGAUAACGAACGAGACUCUAGCCUACUAAAUAGACGUUCCGAUCGUCUCCGUCGGACGUUCUUCUUAGAGGGACAAGCGGCGUUUAGCCGCACGAGACAGAGCAAUAACAGGUCUGUGAUGCCCUUAGAUGUCCGGGGCCGCACGCGCGCUACAUUGAAGGAAUCAGCGUGUGCUUCCCUGGUCCGACAGGAUCGGGUAACCCGAUGAACCUCCUUCGUGCUGGGGAUUGGCAUAUGUAAUUAGUGCCAUGAACGAGGAAUGCCCAGUAAGCACGAGUCAUUAACUCGUGUUGAUUACGUCCCUGCCCUUUGUACACACCGCCCGUCGCUACUACCGAUUGAAUGAUUUAGUGAGGUCCCCGGACUGGCGACCGAACCGGCCUGAGGUCGGGUCGAGUUGCCGGAAAGGUGACCAAACUUGAUCAUUUAGAGGAAGUAAA